UGACGGAGCGAAGCGACGUCAAAGCGUUCAUUAAAGUCGAGUUGGCUUAGGGAUACGUUCGUUGGGUAGGGGAGCGUUCUGUAAGCCGUUGAAGGUGGCCUGUGAGGGUUGCUGGAGGUAUCAGAAGUGCGAAUGCUGACAUAAGUAACGAUAAAGCGGGUGAAAAGCCCGCUCGCCGGAAGACCAAGGGUUCCUGUCCAACGUUAAUCGGGGCAGGGUGAGUCGACCCCUAAGGCGAGGCCGAAAGGCGUAGUCGAUGGGAAACGGGUUAAUAUUCCCGUACUUGGUGUUACUGCGAAGGGGGGACGGAGAAGGCUAUGUUGGCCGGGCGACGGUUGUCCCGGUUUAAGCGUGUAGGUGUGUGUUCCAGGUAAAUCCGGUUCACUUUAACACUGAGGCGUGACGACGAGGCACUACGGUGCUGAAGCAACAAAUGCCCUGCUUCCAGGAAAAGCCUCUAAGCAUCAGGUAACAUCAAAUCGUACCCCAAACCGACACAGGUGGUCAGGUAGAGAAUACCAAGGCGCUUGAGAGAACUCGGGUGAAGGAACUAGGCAAAAUGGUGCCGUAACUUCGGGAGAAGGCACGCUGACACGUAGGUGAAGUGAUUUACUCAUGGAGCUGAAGUCAGUCGAAGAUACCAGCUGGCUGCAACUGUUUAUUAAAAACACAGCACUGUGCAAACACGAAAGUGGACGUAUACGGUGUGACGCCUGCCCGGUGCCGGAAGGUUAAUUGAUGGGGUCAGCGCAAGCGAAGCUCCUGAUCGAAGCCCCGGUAAACGGCGGCCGUAACUAUAACGGUCCUAAGGUAGCGAAAUUCCUUGUCGGGUAAGUUCCGACCUGCACGAAUGGCGUAAUGAUGGCCAGGCUGUCUCCACCCGAGACUCAGUGAAAUUGAACUCGCUGUGAAGAUGCAGUGUACCCGCGGCAAGACGGAAAGACCCCGUGAACCUUUACUAUAGCUUGACACUGAACAUUGAGCCUUGAUGUGUAGGAUAGGUGGGAGGCUUUGAAGCGUGGACGCCAGUCUGCGUGGAGCCG
rnacentral:rRNA from 1 species